GGAACUUUAACAGAACCCUUCGGGGCGAAGAUAAAGUGGAUUAGCGGCGGACGGGUGAGUAACACGUGAGUAACCUGCCUUAGACAUUGGGAUAGCCUCGGGAAACCGGGAUUAAUACCAAAUAAAAUCAUAAUGACACAUGUCAUAACGAUCAAAACUCCGGUGGUCUAAGAUGGACUCGCGUCCCAUUAGCUAGUUGGUAGAGUAAAAGCCUACCAAGGCGACGAUGGGUAGCCGGCCUGAGAGGGUGAACGGCCACAUUGGAACUGAGAAACGGUCCAAACUCCUACGGGAGGCAGCAGUGGGGAAUAUUGCACAAUGGAGGGAACUCUGAUGCAGCGACGCCGCGUGAACGAAGAAGGCUUUCGAGUCGUAAAGUUCUUUUAUAUGGGAAGAUAAUGACGGUACCAUAAGAAAAAGCCCCGGCUAACUACGUGCCAGCAGCCGCGGUAAUACGUAGGGGGCUAGCGUUGUCCGGAAUCACUGGGCGUAAAGGGUUCGCAGGCGGAAAUGCAAGUCAGAUGUAAAAGGCAGUAGCUUAACUACUGUAAGCAUUUGAAACUGCAUAUCUUGGGAAGAGUAGAGGUAAGUGGAAUUUUUAGUGUAGCGGUGAAAUGCGUAGAUAUUAAAAAGAAUACCGGUGGCGAAGGCGACU
rnacentral:rRNA from 2 species